rnacentral:misc_RNA from 1 species
AACGCAUCUUGCGCUCCUUGGAAUUCCGAGGAGCAUGCCUGUUUGAGUGUCGUUAAACUUUCAAACCUCACGAUGGUGAGGGUUUGGAUUGUGGAGUGUGCUGGAAGUCCCGACUUGCAGCUCCUCUGAAAUGUAUUAGCAAUGAAAGACUUUGCUUUCUGAGCUUCUUUUUUUGGCUUGAUAAUCUUUUUUGUCUACGCCAUUGAGCUUGGUGGUGAAGGGCCUUUUUUUGCUCAUAAACCCCAUAUCAACCUUUUUAUUUGACCUCAAAUCAGGUAGGACUACCCGCUGAACUUAA